ensembl:lncRNA
GUUAUUUCCAGACCUAACUCUAUAUAUAUAUAUAUACAUGAUAAUUAGGGGAAUGAAUACCAGGUGUGUGUCAUAAGGAAGACAAAACAAUACAGGAUGAUGAAAUGGGUGUUGGAUUGAUGACCAGGGGAGUGCAGGAAAGGGGUGUUUGGUCGGAGGCACCUAGUAGACCAGCAAAGUCUAGAGCCUGAGUGGGAGGGGAGAGGAGGCAGGAGUGACAACAUACAAUAAUCUGAUGAAGGGGUCUACAGUUCUUUAUGUACAAUGGAGUAACAGCUGUUUUGUAUCAUAUUAUUUCUGUUAUUUCUUAUUUGGGUAUUGGCUGUUGCAAACAUAAUAUCAGCAGUAUGACUGAUGAGGUGUUGUCAAGAGAGCACAGACAGAUAUGUCAACAAGAUAGGUGAGAUAUGAGAUGACCAAACAUACAUAUUUUGACGUAUCUAAGAAAUGCACCGUUGAGGCUUUCACUUCCUGCCAUGUCAAGAAUUCAGUAUAGAGAAAAGUAGGUUAAGUAGGUUUCAAUUUCAAGCAAAUGAAAGACCAAAUAGUCUAUAUCAGAUUAAUAAACAGUUUUUGUCAUGACAACCUAAAAUUCACUGGCACAUAAAACAAUGAAUGACCUCAAUGUUUAAGUAGGCCAACUCCCUCUUGUCAAUGUUCUGGAAGUUCUUUCACACACCUGUGGUUGACCACUCGCCUGUCUCUGGUGACUGCUCUGCAAAGACCCCAUUACAAUCACCAGGUACUAACAGGGCGUAAUAAUAGCGGGGGUGCGAGAUUUUCUGUGAAACAGUAACACACAGAGAAGCUAGAAAACUAUGUGACUUAUUUAUCUCAUCUCUCAUUGUCCAUUGUAACUCGGUCAACCCAGCAUUGGCUUUAAUACUUUGUUCCUCUACUUAGCUCAUAACGCUAAGAUCUUUUCAGUCAGUGCAGAUGAUAACAUUCUAUCUCAGGAUAAUUCAGAAUGUGUGCAUUAAGGGUUAUUAUGCUUCUGUUACUGUGCAGUGUUUCUGUUGAAGGGAAGUGACAUGUACUGUACUAAUUCUUUAAAUAUAUUUAAUUAAUUACAAAAAUGAUGCACUUCAUUUCCAAUGUAGUUCUUCAAACACUUAACCUCUUCACAUAACUAUUAAUGUUUAAAGAAAUGUUUCCCUUUUUCACUCACAAUGACCUUCCCUUCCUGUGUACAGAGACCCAACUGAAAACAUUGAAGAUUGGAGGAGUAGAUGUCAUUCACAUCUGCCAAAAUCAUGAAUUGAAUAAGAUACUGUUGGUAAAAUGUAUGAUAGGUGGGGCGCAAGGUUGUCUAGUAUCAUUACGAUUUGACCAAAAGAGUCCAAUUAGCACUAGUGACUCCAGGGUCAACCUAAAAUAUAAUGGUAGCAGAGUGUUUCUACACAUUAACAAAAUACAACCAUCCGAUGAAGGGAACUACACCUGUGAAUGUGUGUA